CCAAUGCACCACGGGCUCAGGAUCCAUCUGUGGGGUCACUGGGGAUCCCAAUACACUAUGGGUUUGGGAUCCAUUGGUUUGACCACUGGGGAUCCCAAUGCACCACGGGGUCGGGAUCCAUCUGUGGGGUCAUAGGGGAUCCCAAUGCACCAUGGGUUUGGGAUCCAUCUGCUGGGUUAUAGGGGACCCCAAUUCACGACGGGUUUGGGAUUCAUCUGUGGGGUCAUUGGGGAUCCCAAUGCACAGUGAAUUUGGGGUCCACCCCUUUGGUCUUUGGGGUUCCCAACCACACAUGAGUUUGGGGUCCGGCCCUUAGGAACCACAGAGCACCCCAAGUUGGGCUCCCAUUGCUUUGGCCAUUGGGGAUGCCAACCCCACAUCAUUUUGGGGUCCGGCCCUUCGGAACCACAGAGCACCCCAAGUUGGGGUCCCCUUGCUUUGGCCAUUGGGGAUCCCAAAUGCACCCCGACAUUACAAAUCCCAAUGCAGUGUGGAUCCAUCCAUGGGGUUAAUGGGGAUCCCAACACACCCCAAGUUUGGGAUCGGGCCAUGAUGGACCCCGGGACACCCCAAAUUGGGGUCCCAUUGCUUUGGCCAUUGGGGAUCCCAACCCCACAUGACUUUGGGGUCCACCCCUUUGGCCAUUGGGGUUCCCAACCCCACAUCAUUUUGGGGUCCAGACCUUAGGAACCACACAGCACCCCAAGUUGGGUUCCCAUUGCUUUGGCCAUUGGGGAUCCCAAUGCACAGUGAAUUUGGGGUCCACCCCUUUGGAACCACAGAGCACCCCAAGUUGGGGUCCCACUGCUUUGGCCAUUGGGGAUCCCAACCCCACAUCAUUUUGGGGUCCGGCCCUUCGGAACCACAGAGCACCCAAAGUUGGGGUCCCCUUGCUUUGGCCAUUGGGGACCCCCACACCCUGUGAGUUUGGGAUCCACCCCUUCGGUCUUUGGGGUUCCCAACCCCACAUGAGUUUGGGGUCCGGCCCUUCGGAACCACAGAGCACCCCAAGUUGGGGUCCCAUUGCUUUGGUCUAUGGGGAUCCCAACCCCACAUGAGUUUGGGGUCCGGCCCUUUGGAAGCACACAGCACCCCAAGUUGGGCUCCCAUUGCUUUGGCCAUUGGGGAUCCCAAAUGCACAUGAAUUUGGGGUCCGGCCCUUAGGAACCACAGAGCACCCCAAGUUGGGCUCCCAUUGCUUUGGCCAUUGGGGAUCCCAACCCCACAUCAUUUUGGGGUCCACCCCUUUGAUCUAUGGGGCUCCCACCCCACAUGAUUUUGGGGUCCGUCCAUGACGGCUCCCGGGACACCCCAACUUUGCCUCCCAUCGCUUUGCCCAUUUGGGGUCCCCCCCUCCCUCCGCUCUUCGGCACCGCACCGCACCGCACCGCCCCACCCGCGGG
ensembl:lncRNA